rnacentral:rRNA from 1 species
UACGAAGGGGGCUAGCGUUGUUCGGAAUUACUGGGCGUAAAGCGCGCGCAGGCGGCCUUUCAAGUCAGGGGUGAAAGCCCGGAGCUCAACUCCGGAAUUGCCUUUGAAACUGCAAGGCUUGAGUACGGGAGAGGUGAGUGGAAUUCCCAGUGUAGAGGUGAAAUUCGUAGAUAUUGGGAAGAACACCGGUGGCGAAGGCGGCUCACUGGCCCGUUUCUGACGCUCAUGCGCGACAGCGUGGGGAUCAAACAGG